UACGUAGGUGGCAAGCGUUGUCCGGAAUUACUGGGCGUAAAGCGUGCGCAGGCGGCGCGUUAAGACAGGUGUGAAAGCCCCGAGCUUAACUUGGGAAUUGCGCUUGUGACUGGCGAGCUGGAGUGUGGCAGAGGGAGGUGGAAUUCCACGUGUAGCAGUGAAAUGCGUAGAGAUGUGGAGGAACACCGAUGGCGAAGGCAGCCUCCUGGGCCAGCACUGACGCUCAUGCACGAAAGCGUGGGGAGCAAACAGG
rnacentral:rRNA from 1 species